rnacentral:rRNA from 1 species
UGAUGAAGAACACAGUGAAAUGUGAUAAGUAAUGUGAAUCGCAGAAUUCAGUGAAUCAUCAAAUCUUUGAACGCCCCUUGCACCUUUUGGUAUUCCAAAAGGUACACCUGUUUGAGUGUCAUGAAGACUACUCAUUAAAGAACUUUUUUUUAUUAAAGUUCUUUGAUGGAUGUUGAGUGUUGCUGUGAUUAUUAUUACAGCUCACUUUAAAGACAUAAGCUCAUCUUAUCAUUUGAUUUGGACUGACUUGAUGUGAUAUAUAUCAACUUCAUCAAGGAAUGUGUAUAAUAUAUACAGCCAAUCAUUUUUUGAUAAGGAGGCUUCUAAACCAUUUCUUUUCACUCUAUGUGAAAAAAUACCCCAUUUGUGAGACCUCAAGUCAGGUGGAAUUACCCGCUGAACUUAAGCAUAUCAAUAAGCGGAGGAAAAGAAACUAACAAGGAUUCCCU